CUGGCGGAAUGCUUUACACAUGCAAGUCGAACGGUAGAGGGGGCAACCCCUUGAGAGUGGCGAACGGGUGAGUAAUGUAUCGGAACGUGCCCAGUCGUGGGGGAUAACGUAGUGAAAAUUACGCUAAUACCGCAUACGAUCUAUGGAUGAAAGCGGGGGAUCGCAAGACCUCGCGCGAUUGGAGCGGCCGAUAUCAGAUUAGGUAGUUGGUAGGGUAAAGGCCUACCAAGCCAACGAUCUGUAGCUGGUCUGAGAGGACGACCAGCCACACUGGAACUGAGACACGGUCCAGACUCCUACGGGAGGCAGCAGUGGGGAAUUUUGGACAAUGGGCGAAAGCCUGAUCCAGCCAUUCCGCGUGCAGGAUGAAGGCCCUCGGGUUGUAAACUGCUUUUGUACAGAACGAAAAGGUUUCUAUUAAUACUAGGAGCUCAUGACGGUACUGUAAGAAUAAGCACCGGCUAACUACGUGCCAGCAGCCGCGGUAAUACGUAGGGUGCAAGCGUUAAUCGGAAUUACUGGGCGUAAAGCGUGCGCAGGCGGUUAUAUAAGUCAGAUGUGAAAUCCCCGGGCUCAACCUGGGAACUGCAUUUGAGACUGUAUAGCUAGAGUACGGUAGAGGGGGAUGGAAUUCCGCGUGUAGCAGUGAAAUGCGUAGAUACGCGGAGGAACACCGAUGGCGAAGGCAAUCCCCUGGACCUGUACUGACGCUCAUGCACGAAAGCGUGGGGAGCAAACAGGAUUAGAUACCCUGGUAGUC
rnacentral:rRNA from 1 species